rnacentral:rRNA from 1 species
ACUUCGUGCCAGCAGCCGCGGUAAGACGAAGGGGGCGAGCGUUGUUCGGAGUUACUGGGCGUAAAGGGCGUGUAGGCGGUUAAGGAAGUCCUGGGUAAAAGUCCUUUUUUCAAAGGGGGAAGGGCCCAGGAAACUCCUUGGCUAGAGGAUAGGAGGGGGGAGUGGAAUUCCCGGUGUAGCGGUGAAAUGCGUAGAGAUCGGGAGGAACACCGAUGGCGAAGGCGGCUCUCUGGCCUAAUCCUGACGCUGAGGCGCGAAAGCCAGGGGAGCAAACGGGAUUAGAUACCCCGGUAGUCCUGGCCCUAAACGAUGAGCACUAGAUAUGGGGGGUUCAAAGACCUUCCAUG